GUGCCAGCCGCCGCGGUAAUACGUAGGUGGCAAGCGUUGUCCGGAUUUACUGGGCGUAAAGGAUGCGUAGGCGGAUAUUUAAGUCAGAUGUGAAAACCCCGGGCUUAACUUGGGGACUGCAUUUGAAACUGGGUAUCUAGAGUGCGGGAGAGGAAAGUGGAAUUCCUAGUGUAGCGGUGAAAUGCGUAGAGAUUAGGAAGAACACCAGUGGCGAAGGCGACUUUCUGGACCGUAACUGACGCUGAGGCAUGAAAGCGUGGGGAGCAAACAGGAUUAGAUACCCUGGUAGUCCACGCUGUAAACGAUGGGUACUAGGUGUGGGGGUUGUCAUGACCUCUGUGCCGCAGUUAACACAAUAAGUACCCCGCCUGGGGAGUACGGUCGCAAGAUUAAA
rnacentral:rRNA from 1 species